UACAGAGGUCCCAAGCGUUGUUCGGAUUCAUUGGGCGUAAAGGGUGCGUAGGUGGCGCGCUAAGUCAGGUGUGAAAUUUCGGAGCUUAACUCCGAAACUGCAUUUGAUACUGGCGUGCUUGAGGACUGGAGAGGAGACUGGAAUUUACGGUGUAGCAGUGAAAUGCGUAGAGAUCAUGAGGAAGACCAGUGGCGAAGGCGGGCCUCUGGACAGUUCCUGACACUGAGACACGAAGGCCAGGGGAGCAAACGGG
rnacentral:rRNA from 1 species